CAGAUGCAAUCAACACAGCUCGUUUCCAUCUGUUACACGGGCCUCUUCACCUCCGGAGCAUGCUGGAGCCCCGCCCCCUGCCGGAGCAGCCAUGACAUUGGGGACGUGUCUUCAGGAUCAGGAGCAGGCUUUGUGCUAAAAUAGGUCUGAGUACCAAGCCUGAUGCCCCCACCCUGGCCAAAGCCGGGAAGGAGAGAAGGACCUGAGGAGAAAAGCAGGUAAGGCUCAGUAGACAACCUCAAGACCAUAGAAACAUUGCAAUUCUUAAUUGUACUUAAAUCAAUUUAAUUUCUACUGUAAUCCCAUCAUGCUGGAUUGAUAGGAAAUCAAAGCCUUUACAAGCUACCUCUACUCCUAGGGUGAUGCAAAGGUCCUGUGGUUGUACCAAAGAGACGAUAUUUGGGAUCAUGCAUAUGCACACGUGAACACACACACAUAUACACACCCUUAAGUCUUCAGGUUAACUGUCUGCACUUGUUACAGUUGUGAAGCCCUUCCUCACAGCCCCCAGGCUCCCAUUUUCCUGGAGGGAUGCUUGGAGCACAGCACUCUUUUCGAGAAUGGGAGCCCCUGUGGCUGGUGGAAGCCUCCCUACGGCAUUUCACAGCCCUCUCCUGAGGUUUGCUUGGCGCCUUCCCCCUCAUGCAUGUCUCCUCUAGUCUCAGAAACCACAAAAUGUGGCCCCUUCUGGGUUUCCCUGGCUCCCUCCUCUCCAGGUGACUUAAGGCACCCCCUCUCUUUUUCUGCGGCCCCAAUGGCAGAGGGCCUCAUAAUCAACUUCAGCUCUCCCUCUGCUAGCUUUCCCUGCGGUGAGGAAGCCCAGAGUCCGGUCAUCCGCUGGGAACAGGAAAAGGAAGAGAGAAAAGAUACAUGGGGAGAGAGAGUGUAUACAUUAGUACCUCCAAGCUUAUCUUGCCACAUUAUGAUGGACCUAGAACAGUAUUCCGGAGACAGCCCUGUUCAGGGAUGUUGUAAUAAGUAUACUAUUUUUAUUUUUCGGGUAUGACAAUCGGUCCCUCACUCUUAGAUUUCUCUGGUUUCACCGUCAAGCAGUCAUGAUAUCUACUACGGAGGAGGCAGCGUUCACUUCUGACAAAACAACCAGUAUAGGACCGAGCAGCGUGGAGCGUGACUAUGGCACAGGGUUGGGGUAUAUAAUGCUCAGGCUUGGUCAGGAGAGGUGGUGAAGCCUCAGAUACGUUGGUCCAGAUUUAAUUUGGGGAAUCCUUGUAAAGGGACAUGCAUCCCCUUACUCAUACAGGAUGACACAAAGAAAGUUCUAGACUCAUGUCCACCAAACCUCCUCCUCUCUCACACGGCGAAGCAGUCAGGGACCUCUUGGGCAGUCCAAGCCAGAAGAGAAAUUCGGUUCGGCCUGAGGAGGAAUUAUACUGCCCUGAGGUCUGGAGUGGACGCUUGCAAGGGCCAUCCUGGAAUAAUCUAGAGCUCGACACUUGCAGACUACUUCUGGACCCUCUCCACCGAGCGCCCAUUGAGGGCAGGCCCGGGUCUUGGCUGACGUUGUGUUUCCCCCAUGCUGUCCCAGCCCCUGACGCGCAGCAAUGAUCUUAGCUGAAUGAGUGAAUACGUGGAGGAAAAAAUGAGCGAGCGCGUCAGAGUGUAAUAGCGAAAGUGUGUUACGAAGCAUGACAACCAAGGAUAUCUCCAUGACGAUGCUACUCAUCACCAACAGCCUGGCUUCACCAGGAGCAGAACACCCAGUCCAGGGCUUGUGCUCCUACUGGGCGGCCCUGGUGCUACCCCGCCCCCGGGAAGGAGGAGGCUGGUGUCCUCGGAGCAAGAACCGCGUUGUCCAGCUCGGUGGUGUCCCAGCAGUAAAUCUCCGCCUCUUCCACUUCCUGACAAGCUAGGCUGAUUUAUCCCCCUGUGGUUUUAUGAUCAGAGGCUACUCGCAUUGCUAAUACAUUACUCAUUUUAGCUAUAUAGACGGCAAGGUCAAAUGGCCCCUUGGAGCUCGGAAGUGACUGGCGGUCACGUAGACCUGCCUUUUCCUCAGAGGGGUCACCUACCAUCUCACUCUGUUGGGUAAAUUUAUAACCUUGAGAAUUCUAAUGUCCACCUUGCUCCCAGCACCCCCCGCCCCACUGCCCGCCCCACCCCACCACCUCCGACCCUGGGGGCUAGGUAAAUUAUAUUGCCUGGCUUACUCCUCUCAUAAACAUUCAGUGACAAACUUUUUCUUUGGCCUGGGGUCAUAAAGAGGGGAGAGAAAAAAAAAAAAAAAAGAAACCUCUUAACUUUUUUUUCCAACUUAAGACUUCAGUCAAAUAUUUUCCUCCAUCGUCAGCAAGACAUAAUACUUCAUGUCAUGAAUAAGUUAAUGAGAAAAAUAUGGAUGCCCUUCCCCAGUCUCUCGGGGACCUGAUGGGCAUUUGGCCUCACUGAGGACCAGUUCUUCUCUAAGUCCACGGGGCUCAUGGGGAAGUUUCUGGUUCGAGUCUGGUCCCAAGGUACUAGAGACUGGCCUGUCCCCCUCAGCAGUCUGCAAUCGUGUUUACCUUGAAUUUGAAUACCCGUCCCUGUGGAAUCUCCCUUAGAACUCCCAGAGGAGCUCUCAAGUGGGUGAAUGGCCCACAGCAAGCAUCGCCAAAUGCCAGCUGCCGAGUACUUCAAUAUGGCCCUUUUCACAUUUUAUUUCAUCUCUGGACCAAAAAUGUGCUUACCUAAAGAAGGCCGUCCAGACUCUUAGCGAGGCAUCCAGCUAGUUCCCUACCAUCAGGCCACAACCUGCUUUGGCAAUCUUACUUUCCACACCCGUUUCCAGCUCUGAGCAAACAGUACUACUACCGCUGCCUGAACCCUCCUGCCUAAAAUGUUCUUCCCUUCACCCAAUCUAAAUCCUUUUCCUUUAGACAAAGACAACGGGGUAAUAAAUUAGUGCUUCUUCACACUGA